GAACCUUACCAGGUCUUGACAUCCUUUGAAGCUUUUAGAGAUAGAAGUGUUCUCUUCGGAGACAAAGUGACAGGUGGUGCAUGGUCGUCGUCAGCUCGUGUCGUGAGAUGUUGGGUUAAGUCCCGCAACGAGCGCAACCCUUAUUGUUAGUUGCCAGCAUUCAGUUGGGCACUCUAGCGAGACUGCCGGUGACAAACCGGAGGAAGGCGGGGACGACGUCAGAUCAUCAUGCCCCUUAUGACCUGGGCUACACACGUGCUACAAUGGCGUAUACAACGAGUUGCCAACCUGCGAAGGUGAGCUAAUCUCUUAAAGUACGUCUCAGUUCGGACUGCAGUCUGCAACUCGACUGCACGAAGUCGGAAUCGCUAGUAAUCGCGGAUCAGCACGCCGCGGUGAAUACGUUUCCGGGUCUUGUACACACCGCCU
rnacentral:rRNA from 1 species